AAUUUUUUUUAAUCUAAUCGGUACCGCCCGCAACCGCAAACGCUUGUGGGAAAGAACUUUUGAAAUCUGGCGAUUUCGAGCAGUCCAAGGCGGUAUUUAGCGGUUUCUAUGAUUGGUUGCAAUCGCUAACAACCGCUACCACCCGCAAACGCAGCGUUUGCGGAUGGUAGAGGGAGAACCAAUCAAACCCUAAUUCUCGAGCAAUAAUUGAUACCUAUCUUGACAAAAAAAA
rnacentral:sRNA from 1 species